rnacentral:tRNA from 1 species
GCGAAACGAGUGCUUGAGCGUCGCCUUGCCAAGGCGAAGGUCGCCGGUUCGAACCCGGUGUUCCGCUCCA